rnacentral:rRNA from 1 species
UACGUAGGGGGCAAGCGUUGUCCGGAUUUAUUGGGCGUAAAGAGCGUGUAGGCGGCCUUACAGGUCAGCUGUGAAAGUCGGGGGCUCAACCCUCGAAUGCCGGUGGAUACUGUCGGGCUAGAGUGCGGAAGAGGCGAGUGGAAUUCCUGGUGUAGCGGUGAAAUGCGCAGAUAUCAGGAGGAACACCGGUGGCGAAGGCGGGUCUCUGGGCCGAUACUGACGCUGAGGAGCGAAAGCGUGGGGAGCGAACAGG